GGGGAAUCUUGCGCAAUGGUCGAAAGACUGACGCAGCGACGCCGCGUGGGGGAGGAAGGUCUUCGGAUCGUAAACCCCUGUCACCGGGGAAGAACUCCUGGGGGGAGGAAAUGCCUCUCAGGUUGACGGUACCCGGGGAGGAAGCACCGGCUAACUACGUGCCAGCAGCCGCGGUAAUACGUAGGGUGCAAGCGUUGCCCGGAUUUAUUGGGCGUAAAGGGCGCGCAGGCGGUUCGGCACGUCCGUUGUGAAAUCGCCCGGCUCAACUGGGCGGGGUCAGCGGAUACGGUCGAACUUGAGCAAGCUAGGGGGCAAUGGAAUUCCCGGUGUAGUGGUGGAAUGCGUAGAUAUCGGGAGGAACACCAGUGGCGAAGGCGGUUGCCUGGAGCUUUGCUGACGCUGAGGCGCGAAAGCGUGGGGAGCGAUC
rnacentral:rRNA from 1 species